rnacentral:rRNA from 1 species
CGUGAGGGAAAGGUGAAAAGCACCCCGGAAGGGGAGUGAAAUAGAACCUGAAACCGUGUGCUUACAAGUAGUCAGAGCCCGUUAAUGGGUGAUGGCGUGCCUUUUGUAGAAUGAACCGGCGAGUUACGAUUUGAUGCAAGGUUAAGCAGUAAAUGUGGAGCCGUAGCGAAAGCGAGUCUGAAUAGGGCGUUUAGUAUUUGGUCGUAGACCCGAAACCAGGUGAUCUACCCUUGGUCAGGUUGAAGUUCAGGUAACACUGAAUGGAGGACCGAACCGACUUACGUUGAAAAGUGAGCGGAUGAACUGAGGGUAGCGGAGAAAUUCCAAUCGAACCUGGAGAUAGCUGGUUCUCUCCGAAAUAGCUUUAGGGCUAGCCUCAAGUGAUGAUUAUUGGAGGUAGAGCACUGUUUGGACGAGGGGCCCCUCUCGGGUUACCGAAUUCAGACAAACUCCGAAUGCCAAUUAAUUUAACUUGGGAGUCAGAACAUGGGUGAUAAGGUCCGUGUUCGAAAGGGAAACAGCCCAGACCACCAGCUAAGGUCCCAAAAUAUAUGUUAAGUGGAAAAGGAUGUGGCGUUGCCCAGACAACUAGGAUGUUGGCUUAGAAGCAGCCAUCAUUUAAAGAGUGCGUAAUAGCUCACUAGUCGAGUGACACUGCGCCGAAAAUGUACCGGGGCUAAACAUAUUACCGAAGCUGUGGAUUGUCCUUUGGACAAUGGUAGGAGAGCGUUCUAAGGGCGUUGAAGCAUGAUCGUAAGGACAUGUGGAGCGCUUAGAAGUGAGAAUGCCGGUGUGAGUAGCGAAAGACGGGUGAGAAUCCCGUCCACCGAUUGACUAAGGUUUCCAGAGGAAGGCUCGUCCGCUCUGGGUUAGUCGGGUCCUAAGCUGAGGCCGACAGGCGUAGGCGAUGGAUAACAGGUUGAUAUUCCUGUACCACCUAUAAUCGUUUUAAUCGAUGGGGGGACGCAGUAGGAUAGGCGAAGCGUGCGAUUGGAUUGCACGUCUAAGCAGUAAGGCUGAGUAUUAGGCAAAUCCGGUACUCGUUAAGGCUGAGCUGUGAUGGGGAGAAGACAUUGUGUCUUCGAGUCGUUGAUUUCACACUGCCGAGAAAAGCCUCUAGAUAGAAAAUAGGUGCCCGUACCGCAAACCGACACAGGUAGUCAAGAUGAGAAUUCUAAGGUGAGCGAGCGAACUCUCGUUAAGGAACUCGGCAAAAUGACCCCGUAACUUCGGGAGAAGGGGUGCUCUUUAGGGUUAACGCCCAGAAGAGCCGCAGUGAAUAGGCCCAAGCGACUGUUUAUCAAAAACACAGGUCUCUGCUAAACCGUAAGGUGAUGUAUAGGGGCUGACGCCUGCCCGGUGCUGGAAGGUUAAGAGGAGUGGUUAGCUUCUGCGAAGCUACGAAUCGAAGCCCCAGUAAACGGCGGC